GCCGGGAUGGUGAAACUGGUAAACACAGGGGACUUAAAAUCCCCCGGGCGUCACGCCCUUGCGGGUUCAAGUCCCGCUCCCGGCA
rnacentral:tRNA from 1 species